rnacentral:rRNA from 1 species
GAUGAACGCUGGCGGCGUGCCUAAUACAUGCAAGUCGAGCGAACAGACGAGGAGCUUGCUCCUCUGACGUUAGCGGCGGACGGGUGAGUAACACGUGGAUAACCUACCUAUAAGACUGGGAUAACUUCGGGAAACCGGAGCUAAUACCGGAUAAUAUAUUGAACCGCAUGGUUCAAUAGUGAAAGACGCUUUUGCUGUCACUUAUAGAUGUAUCCGCGCCGCAUUAGCUAGUUGGUAAGGUAACGGCUUACCAAGGCAACGAUGCGUAGCCGACCUGAGAGGGUGAUCGGCCACACUGGAACUGAGACACGGUCCAGACUCCUACGGGAGGCAGCAGUAGGGAAUCUUCCGCAAUGGGCGAAAGCCUGACGGAGCAACGCCGCGUGAGUGAUGAAGGUCUUCGGAUCGUAAAACUCUGUUAUUAGGGAAGAACAAAUGCGUAAGUAACUAUGCACGUCUUGACGGUACCUAAUCAGAAAGCCACGGCUAACUACGUG